CUCAGUUCCGUUUCCAGCCUGCGGGGAUCUCCCGGCGAGCGCAAGCGGCCCGCCCUUUUCCGCAGCUGUAGCGCCCCCGGCUGGUUACCGGCCGUCUGCUAUCUGGAUUUCGCCAUCCGAAACCCGCCUACUUCUCUGGAGGUUUAACACUGGUCCAAAGAGAGAGAAGAAGCCAAGAGAUUGCCUAUGUCAUGGCAGGACUCACCAGUGCCGUACAUGGGAAAUCAGGAGACAUGAGCUCUUCUAAUUCAGUUUCCCUGAACGCCCUAUUUGAAUGGAUAUGCAACAUCAUGUUUUACUUUAGAUUACUGAUAAAACUUCAAUAUUUUUUCCAAUCUGAUCCUUUGGUCUCUCUAAGCUUCAUUAUUGACAGCAACUUGGUCCAAUUCACAGAUGAAAAGCUUCAUUCCCACUUCCCCAGAUUUUUCAAGCAACUGAAUAAAUAUGACUUUGGCAAUGGAUGACCUACUACAGAAAAGCAAGGAAGGGAAAAGAUGAUCGGGAAAGCUGGACAAGAGAACAUAUAAACUGAAACCAAACAUCUUCCUCUGGAAAAUUGGUGCAAUAUUAAAAUAGCUUUUCUUUGAAAAAGUCAUCAGUGCAAUUUGUUUAUUUAUUAAUUACAUUUGUAGAGCACUCUGAUCCCAAAGAACUCUCAGUGAUUAAACAAGAUAAAAUCUUGUUGUGGGGUUGGCAUGU